UUUACAGAGUCGGAUCCAUUGUGGCGCGCAGUUGGAUCUGUUGGAUGAGCGCUGGCGCCGUGCUGCGCCAAGAUUUGGAUCCUGCACAUUUGUGCUGAUGGAUGCAUUUCAGUGGUUCUUCGCUGCAGCAUCUGAGGGUACGCUGUUGCGUGGCUGAUUAAGGUAACAAACCUUGACUGGAAGUCAUAGGACGAACCAGACUGAAGAUGCUGUCGCUGCUGGUCACUGCUCUGCGGAGCUUCACU